AACCAAGGAAAACAACUACAAAACAAUCUCUCCGGAUAUUAAUAGCAAUGGCCUCUUGUGGUGAAACUAUUGAUUUCAAUGGAAAGAAUUUUGCCUGUAGAUCUGACCCAAUUAAGCAUUUAUGAAGGCACAACGUAAUGGAGACCUAGAGACACUGAGAAGGUCAGAGCAAAUCUGAGAAGAGUCUCAUGAAGCCCAUUGUCCUGAAUGCCCCAAUUCUACCUGUCAAGGGUGCCUGGAAAGAGACACUGAAGAGAAUAGCAAUAAAUAUGAAAACCCUGCAGAAGAGAGAACAACUUCAUUGCUAAGAUCUACAUUAUUCUAAUUUUGAUCUAACUACCACAACCUAGAGGGGGGAAAGGCAAUUAAUCUACACAAGAACUCCUCUGAAGGAACUAGAUGAUGUCAAUCCUUUGAGAGGACCGGUGGUGGUUAUUUUUCUUCCCUU